rnacentral:rRNA from 1 species
GAUCCUGGCUCAGGAUGAACGCUGGCGGCGUGCUUAACACAUGCAAGUCGAACGAAGCAAUCUAGCGGAAGUUUUCGGAUGGGAGCUGGAUUGACUGAGUGGCGGACGGGUGAGUAACGCGUGGGUAACCUGCCUCACACUGGGGGACAACAGUUAGAAAUGACUGCUAAUACCGCAUAAGCGCACAGGACCGCAUGGUCCAGUGUGAAAAACUCCGGUGGUGUGAGAUGGACCCG